UCGUGGCAGCCAGGAGAAUGCACCCCUCAGCUCUCCAGCAGGAAGGAACAUAAGGGACUGAAGGCCCUCCAGCCUCUGCACUCUGCAUCCCCACAUUAACGCACAGGCUCUGCCUCACGCUGCUGCCAGCCAGGGACUGAGCAUGGCAGAGAGUUGAAUCCUUCACUUUGGCUUGAAGACUACCUGACGGUCUUGCCAGACUCCUUUAGGAUUGCGUUAUAGUCUCUAAGUCACUUUCACCCAACCUUCCUUCUUUCAUUUACCUGGGGUCAUGCCUGCAUCAGGGGCUGGUUGCCUUCCAGCCUCCUACCAACCCCAGCUCCCACCCUGUUUUUCCUCACCAGCACUGCCCCUAGUAAGUCUGUUCUAUAGCUGAUCCGUUUUUGGUCUUGGUAUCUGCUUCUUGGAGGACCCAGACUAACACAAGUGGACCAGGAGUGAAAUCUGAGAAAACUGGUUCAUAGGAGAUUAGGAGCUGGUUCAUCUCCCUCCCAAAGGAUGAAGAGGAUGACAUCCUGGCCGGCCUAUAACUAGGGUUAAAUCCUAGCAAAUCCUGGCUGCAGAUGUGCUGGGCCUGGUAAGGGAGAAGAAAGACCACACAUCAAAAAAGGAAUUUACCUAGAACGCAGCACAGAACGAUAAAGAGAUGGAAAAUAAGAGGGAUGAAGAGACAUGGGGGAUAGAAUGAGAAGGUCCAAUGAGCAUUCAACAGGAAUUCCAGGACUGAAUAAAGAAAACAGC